rnacentral:rRNA from 1 species
UACAGAGGGUGCAAGCGUUGUUCGGAAUUAUUGGGCGUAAAGCGCGCGUAGGCGGCUUCGUAAGUCCGUUGUGAAAGUCAAAGGCUCAACCUUUGAAUGCCGAUGGAUACUGCGAAGCUAGAGUACGGAAGAGGCGAGUGGAAUUCCUGGUGUAGCGGUGGAAUGCGCAGAUAUCAGGAGGAACACCAAUAGCGAAGGCAGCUCGCUGGGACGUUACUGACACUAAGGCGCGAAAGCGUGGGGAGCAAACAGG